GGCGGCCUGGGCUGCGUUCUAGAUUCGGUUCAGUGUUCGGCUUGGUGUGCGGGCCGUUGGGUGGCGUAGAGCAAGGCUUUGUUUAGGGAAUGUCUGUGCACUGGCCGUUAAAAGAGAACCUGGAGGGCGGGGUAGGGUUUCUGAGAGUGUAUCGACCAGUUUUAUUACAUCCAUAGUACAUAAUUUUAAACCCUCUGCAAUCUUGUGUGUCAUAAAGAAAAAGCCUUCUCUCCGGUUUCUUUGUUUUCGAAACUCAGGAGAGGACUUUGGACCGCGGAGGCUACUUUCUCUUAACAGAGAUUGAUCCUUAUCUUUUCCCCUUUCAGGCGGGUCCCGUCAUUCGAACCAACGAAGCACUGUCUCCACUACAUCACACGAGACUGUGCCAUAGAAUUGAGGCCCAAGUCCAAGACCUGUUGGACCCUCUUUCCAAAGUUUCUAAGGGGGCAUGAAUAUAUUGCCUGUUAUUUACAAUCUCUUUUUCCAUAACGAGACCUUUCAGGACUGGCUAUAAAGCAAAUUUCAGGCAGCACCACAAGAAGGAAUAUCAAUGCAGUGAUUGGCUGGUGUCUGAAUAAUACAGCAAGAUUUCAGAGCAGGACUAUCGCAACUGUGCUCUUUUCCUGUUUAUCUCCUGUUUUAUCUUUUGGAGGUUUCAAUCCCACCAUCUCUUCCUCCUUUUUAUUCACCAGAAUACAUCUCGUCCUACUCCACGGGGGGGGGGGGACAAAAAAGAAAAGGUUCAUGCAUGUACUUUGAAGUUGAAUGUGGUCUGAGAAUUAAAGCAGUUCUGCAGAAUCAA